AUUUUUGUGUCCUAAUCGAUCCACUGCAUCGUCCAUUGGCAAGGUGGUCGGAGUGUAUUCGAAGAAUGUGAUACCAAAAUUAGCUGUAAACACGAUAUUCUUUGACACAUCCAUCUAUGCCACAAACUUCACGGAAAUCUGGACUAUGGCUAUGUGCAGAAUUAAUAUGACUCAGUAGGGAUUUGAGGGUCAGACCCACAAAAACGAUGUAGAUAACACAGCGCCAAAUCAUUUUGUUUUACUGGUCUGUGAACUACUUUUCCCAUAAAGUCAAGAUAACCAGGAUUAUUCCAUUAUGGGGUAGGAAUGGCUAUCCUAAUUCAGUGCCUUAAAACAGCUGUAGUAAGUAACAGUACCCACACAUCAGUAUUUACAGAACAUAAUCUAACUAAAUAGUCAAAUAUUUAAAUAUAUAUCAUUUUAUAGGUAUAAAAGAGCGAACUAAACCAUUUCCGUACACAACCCCAUACUCCUGAGUUGGUACAGCCCACCUUCCCGCCUCUAGCUCCGUGCCUAAACGGUUGGAUUGCAGGAUCAGAGGUCUGGGUGUAGAUGCGAUACAGUUGGUACAGUGUGAAGAAAUUAAGGCACGCUAUGGAAAAACUGGACGAAAUAACAAUUGCCAACCUGAAAGGUAUGUGACUGUUUUGUUUUUUCUAUGUUUUGUGUUUUGGUAUGUUGCAUGUUAAGUCGCUAGCAUGGCAGGCUAUACCCGGUUGUUAGCUUAGCUUAGCUGUGCGGUUAGCUUAGUUGCAUUAGCAUUUUUAAAUAUGCUAGUGCAGAGAGUUAUGAAAGAAUUCAUGUCCAGUUAUUAGUUUCAGUGUCUGUGAAUUUAUUCAACAAGUGUGCAAAGUGCCAUAAGUUAAUGCCAGUUUUACAGAAAUUGUGGGAGUUUCAAAUUUCCAUUAGUGAAGUUAUUUCAUUAUAUACUUUAGCCCAGGAAGCAAAAAAAAAAAAAAUACAUUUAUAUGUAUACAUGCAUUUAAUUGAUGUAUCACAAAUAUAUUACUUUUACCAGUCAAUAGGAGGAAGGUAAUUUAGAACCUGUGGAGCAGUGAGGAGGGAGUAUAAUGGAAUAGAGUCAUGGUUUUAAAUGGUAAAUAUUAAAUUAUGUUUCCUAUGUAUCCUGUCUGUUACCCAAGCAAAGCUGUCAGCUGGCUUGCACCUGAGGAUAAUGCAAUGUAGUGAUAAUUGGAAACUCCUAUUGCAGAAGCAAAUGUUGGAGAAGACCUGCUCUCAUCACUUUCACGAGAUGACAUCAAAGAUCUGUUUCCUGGUCCUGAACAUUUCCUCAGGCGUCGGGCUCUAUGGCUUGCAGUGCACAAAUGUGAAGAAAGACCUAAAGUUCUUGUGCAAUUUUAUGUGAAAUUAGCCCUAUGUACACUGUAUUUUAGAACAAGACUGCUGCUGAAAAAACGCUAACAACUACUGGAGAUGGUGACUUCUCCAGAGAGGAACCCAGCACUUCUAAGUUUGUGACUAUGUCCAACCCAGAGUACAUAGUCUUCACAGACAGUGAACUUGAGCAAGCUCGACAUUCCUACUUUGAAAAGAAGCAACUGGGGACAGAGUGUGCUGAACCUUUGUCAAAGGAACUCUUUUGUCGACUCGUAAGAAACACCAUGACAAACAUGAUUUCGAUAGCAAGAGCAGCUGAGGACUCCAGAUACCCCAGCAAACAUGAGGUUGAUGCCAUGGCAAAGCGAUUAAUGGAGUACUACCCAAUGCUUAAAGAAACGUGUGGUGAGUGGGAGCAUGUUGCUAAAAAGCUAAUGAAGAGACUCUCCAAUGUCAAAAGUCCAAGGAAGGGCAAAAAACCUCCUGCGAAGAAGCCAAGAAAGGAUGGGAAUGAAAGUGUUGCAAAAAGUGACAGCAGUGGGGAGUCCAGUGCAUCAACUAUUAUUCUAGAUAAAUCACCAGUUAGAUCGAUGGGCACCCCAGUGCACCACCAGGAUGGCAGUGAUGAAGAAUCUGGUUCAGCUGACUUCUUUGACAGCCAAAAAACCCAGGCAAAACACUACAAGACACUUCAAGAAAUAUACAAGACCAAAAAACCGAACGAAGCUGCUGUUACCCAACUGCUGAACCUGGAGUUUGAGUCUAGAAGACAAUUCAUUAACUCUGAUGCUAUAAAGGAGCAGGACAGAGCAGUGAAGAUACUAGAGGCAUAUCCUUGUUUCAGAGAACUGGAUCAUGUCCUUGAUGAGCUGCGGAGAAUUAUUCAACCAUCCAACUUGAAAUACAUUUCUGAGAUGAAGGAUAGAUGGGAAAUCUUCUACUCGAAGGUGCAGUUUUAUGGUGUCAUGAAGAAAGUUAUGAAGCCGCCAAAAACUUUGGAUGGAGUGGAACAUGCAGCAGCUGUGUUCAGAGCCCUUCCCAUGCUUUUCCCUUCCAGCACAGUACCACCUAAGAAGCUGGGCAUCUGUAGUGAGGCUUUUUUCCAUGUCCUAAAGACUUCAGAAGACCCUGAAGGCUACCUGCGUCAGCGACCCCUGGCUUGUCCAGUUCUGCUUGUCUCUGAAGGCAACUGCAUGAUAGCUGUUGGAACCACACCGGUGAGCACUUUUGAACGGAAGGAUCUUAAUGAGGGACUGCUCUAUCUGAUGGCAUAUUACUAUGCCCUCCACCUCACAUAUCCAUAGUGCAUUUCCACGCUGCUGUCUGUCUUGCAAACUGAAAUACUCAAAGACUCCAUCCACCGAGAUUCAACCCCCUCUUACAAGAAGGCGCUUGGUGAGUGGAAGUCAUUCAUUGAGUGAGUCUCUCAGAUGACAGACUCCAUCUGCCUUGUUUAUCAGACUCAGUGUUAGUCAGUGAGGUUGUUUUUUUUUUCUUUAGAAAAGUUGUUCAAAUGUAAAACACAUGUUUGUUUGUGUGGUCGUUAAACUUGUUCUUCUAAAAUGUUAUGUAAUAUAGGAUUUGAAAUAGUGAUUGUUUUAAGCUUCAGCAAAAUUUAUUUUUGAUACCAGCUAUGAGUGUGUUAUACUGUUAUUAUUCAUGUUAAGAGUAUCUUGAAUAUGCACUUCUUAUAUUGGCCAUGUUACACAGUACCCUGCUGAAAUGUAUAAUUUUAGACAUGAUUCUCCUGGAACAGACCUCAGUGAGUUACUGACCCAUUGCUGUGUCAAUAAAAGCGCAAAAACUAAGA
ensembl:lncRNA